UGCACAGAUGAUGUCUCAAGGGAUUUAAUACUGACUCUUGAUGAUUUUUAUUGAGCUGAUGUGC